rnacentral:rRNA from 1 species
AUUGAACGCUGGCGGCAGGCCUAACACAUGCAAGUCGAACGAGUGGCGGACGGGUGAGUAAUGUCUGGGAAACUGCCCGAGGGGGGGGGAUAACUACUGGAAACGGUAGCUAAUACCGCGUACCCUCGGAUGUGCCCCGAUGGGAUUAGCUUGUCGGUGAGGUAACGGCGCACAGAGGCGACGAUACCUAGCUGGGCUGAGAGGAUGAGGAGCCACACGGGAACUGAGACACGGUCCAGACGCCUACGGGAGGCAGCAGGGGGGAAUAUUGCACAAUGGGCGCAAGCCUGAUGCAGCCAUGCCGCGUGUAUGAAGAAGGCCUUCGGGUUGUAAAGUACUUUCAGCGGGGAGGCGUUACCCGCAGAAGAAGCACCGGCUAACUCCGUGCCAGCAGCCGCGGUAAUAC